GAUCCUGGCUCAGGGUGAACGCUAGCUACAGGCUUAACACAUGCAAGUCGAGGGGCAGCAUGAACUUAGCUUGCUAAGUUUGAUGGCGACCGGCGCACGGGUGAGUAACACGUAUCCAACCUGCCGAUGACUUGGGGAUAGCCUUUCGAAAGAAAGAUUAAUACCCGAUGGCAUAGUUCUUCCGCAUGGUAGAACUAUUAAAGAAUUUCGGUCAUCGAUGGGGAUGCGUUCCAUUAGGUUGUUGGG
rnacentral:rRNA from 1 species